UCAAUUAUCCCCCUAGCCUAACCAUUUUAACAUAAAUUAAUAAACUUCAAUUAAAACUAACUAAAACAUUUUUUACCUUAAGUAUUUGUGAAAAAAAAAGAAACUAAGAGCAAUAAUAAUAGUACCGCAAGGGAAAGGUGAAAUAAUAAUGAAAUAAUGUUUAAUAUGAAAAAGCAAAGAUUAAAUCUUGUACCUUUUGCAUCAUGGCCUAACAAGUCUAACCAGGCAUAAUGAGUUUUAGUCUGACCCCCCGAAACUAAGUGAGCUACUCCGGAGCAUGUAAUAACCCGUCUCUGUGGCAAAAGAGUGGGAAGACUCCCGAGUAGAAGCGAAAAACCUAUCGAACUUAGUGAUAGCUGGUUGCUCAAGAAAAGAAUUUUAGUUCUGUCUUAAAAAUUUAAAGCAAUAACAAGCUAAUUUUAAGGAUUACUCAAUUAGGGUACAGCCUAAUUGAAACAGGGUACAACCUAAAUUUUAGGAUAAUGAUUUAAUCUAAAAAGUCAAAGACUAAGUCGGCUUAAAAGCAGCCAUCUUUUAAAAAGCGUCAAAGCUUCGUCUUAUAACUACUUAUAUUUUAUUAAUUUUUCAAAAUCCGAUACUACUACUGAGCUAUUCCAUACUUCUAUGGAAUUAUUAAUGUUAGGACUAGUAACACAGAAUUAUUUCUCUUCCAUGUAAGUAUAAAUCAGUCCGGAUACCCCACUGAUAACCACCCAGAUUUGACUAAAUAGUAAUUUUGGAAUUCCCAUGAAAACACUACUUUCCUUCCUGUUGACCUAACACAAGAACAUGUAAGAAAGAUUAAAAGACUAAGAAGGAACUCGGCAAACACUAGUCUCGCCUGUUUACCAAAAACAUCGCCUUAUGAAAAUUAUAUAAGGUAACGCCUGCCCAGUGAUAUAUUUCAACGGCCGCGGUAUUCUGACCGUGCGAAGGUAGCGUAAUCAUUUGUCUUUUAAAUAAAGACUUGUAUGAAUGGCAUCACGAAGACUUAACUGUCUCCCUAGUCCUAUCAGUGAAACUGAUCUUCCCGUGCAAAAGCGGGAAUAAAACCAUAAGACGAGAAGACCCUAUGGAGCUUAAAACUAAAAUCUAAUUAUACUAUUCUAUUAAAUUAAUUAAUACUAUAUUGUAUAAACUUAAUUUAAGUUUUCAGUUGGGGUGACUGUGGAGAAGAACUUAUCCUCCAUGUAGAAUCAAGUUUUGAGCUACUACUCUUAGCAUUAGCAAGCCUAACUUUACUUGAUCCAAUAAUUUUGAUCAACGGACCAAGUUACCCUAGGGAUAACAGCGCAAUCCAUUUCAAGAGUCCAUAUCGACAAAUGGGUUUACGACCUCGAUGUUGGAUUAGGACACCCUGGUGGUGCAGCCGCUACUGAU
rnacentral:rRNA from 1 species